ensembl:lncRNA
ACUUCAGAUAUCCUUCCACUGAUAUCCUACUUCAGAUAUCCUUCCACUGAUAUCCUACUUCAGAUAUCCUUCCACUGAUAUUCUACUUCAGCUAUCCUUCCACUGAUAUACUACUUCAGAUAUCCUUCCACUGAUAUCCUACUUCAGAUAUCCUUCCACUGAUAUCCUACUUCAGAUAUCCUUCCACUGAUAUCGUACUUCAGAUAUCCUUCCACUGAUAUCUGUCUCCCUUCCCCAUUCCUACUAGUAAAGGUGUGUUAUUAUAAUGCUCCUCCUCCCCCUAGCAAAGGUGUGUUAUUAUAAUGCUCCUCCUCCCCAUAGUAAAGGUGGGUUAUUAUAAUGCUCCUCCUCCCCAUAGUAAAGGUGUGUUAUUAUAAUGCUCCUCCUCCCCAUAGUAAAGGUGUGUUAUAAUGCUCCUCCUCCCCCCUAGUAAAGGUGUGUUAUAAUGCUCCUCCUCCCCCUAGUAAAGGUGUGUUAUUAUAAUGCUCCUCCUCCACCCUAGAAAAGGUGUGUUAUUAUUAUGCUCCUCCUCCCCCUAGAAAAGGUGUGUUAUAAUGCUCCUCCUCCCCCCUAGUAAAGGUAACAUUAGUGCUGUUGAAACUAUUGCAUUUCUAGGGUUCAUAUUUCCUUAUCAAAGUGCUGAGUGUCAAAGACAAAAAUAAUAAUAAUUUUGCACUUUAAUAUUUGUUUGUCUUCAAAAUGAACAACUAAUCUCUUCCAACAGUUCAUACACUAACUUUGUCAAUAAGAAAUACAAUUUUAAUAGCAUUAAGAAAGAAAAUGUAGAAAAGUGUUUUGGGGUGGGGUGGGGGUGGGGUGGGGG